rnacentral:rRNA from 1 species
CUUUAUCGGAGAGUUUGAUCCUGGCUCAGGACGAACGCUGGCGGCGUGCCUAAUACAUGCAAGUCGAGCGGACAGAUGGGAGCUUGCUCCCUGAUGUUAGCGGCGGACGGGUGAGUAACACGUGGGUAACCUGCCUGUAAGACUGGGAUAACUCCGGGAAACCGGGGCUAAUACCGGAUGCUUGUUUGAACCGCAUGGUUCAAACAUAAAAGGUGGCUUCGGCUACCACUUACAGAUGGACCCGCGGCGCAUUAGCUAGUUGGUGAGGUAAUGGCUCACCAAGGCAACGAUGCGUAGCCGACCUGAGAGGGUGAUCGGCCACACUGGGACUGAGACACGGCCCAGACUCCUACGGGAGGCAGCAGUAGGGAAUCUUCCGCAAUGGACGAAAGUCUGACGGAGCAACGCCGCGUGAGUGAUGAAGGUUUUCGGAUCGUAAAGCUCUGUUGUUAGGGAAGAACAAGUACCGUUCGAAUAGGGCGGUACCUUGACGGUACCUAACCAGAAAGCCACGGCUAACUACGUGCCAGCAGCCGCGGUAAUACGUAGGUGGCAAGCGUUGUCCGGAAUUAUUGGGCGUAAAGGGCUCGCAGGCGGUGUCUUAAGUCCGAUGUGAAAGCCCACGCUUCAACCGGGGCGGGCCAUUUGCAACUGGGG